CUCCAUCCCAGCUUCCACUCAAGAGUAACAGCAGUACAUGUAUACACUCAGAGUAACAGCAGUACAGGUAUCCACUCAGUAACAGCAGUACAGGUGUCCACUCAGUAACAGCAGUACAGGUAUUCACUCAGUAACAGCAGUACAGGUAUCCACUCAGUAACAGCAGUACAGGUAUCACUCAGUAACAGCAGUACAGGUAUCCACUCAGAGUAACAGCAGUACAGGUAUCCACUCAGUAACAGCAGUACAGGUGUCCACUCAGUAACAGCAGUACAGGUAUCCACUCAGUAACAGCAGUACAGGUAUCCACUCAGAGUAACAGCAGUACAGGUAUCCACUCAGAGUAACAGCAGUACAGGUAUCCACUCAGUAACAGCAGUACAGGUAUCCACUCAGAGUAACAGCAGUACAGGUAUCCACUCAGAGUAACAGCAGUACAGGUAUCCACUCAG